AUUGAACGCUAGCGGGAUGCCUUACACAUGCAAGUCGAACGGCGUGCCGAUCGGGUGCGUAAUGUAUCGGUACGUGCCCCGUAGCGGGGGAUAACUAUGCGAACGCGUAGCUAAUUCUGCAUACUCUUGGCCUGGCCGAUAGCGGAUUCGCUAGUUGGUGGGGUAACGGCUCACCAAGGGGACGACCCGUAGCUGGUUUGGGUGGACGACCAGCCACACUGGGAAUGAGACACGGCCCAGACUCCUACGGGAGGCAGCAGUGGGGAAUUUUGAACAAUGGGGGAAAGCCUGAUCCAGCCAUGCCGGGUGUACGAUGAAGGCCUUCGGGUUGUAAAGCACUUUUGGCAGGGAAGCGUUACCUGCAGAAGAAGCACCGGCUAACUACGUGCCAGCAGCCGCGGUAAUAC
rnacentral:rRNA from 1 species